ensembl:lncRNA
UCAUUCAAGCCACACAGAAGAUCGAAGCAUUCAGUGAGUUGUUUUAUGUUACUGUCCUUGUCAAUAACAGUGUGCAGCUUAGAGGCAUGUUGGACUCUGGCUCUAUGGCAUGUAGCAUCAGUGAACAUGCAGUAGAGAAACUCAACUCUGCUGGUGUUUUGCCAGAGAAGCAGCACCCUGGAGAAAAUAUUGUUUUGAUUGGCUGUGGUGGUCUGCAGACUUGACCUGAGGGUUUUUAUGAUUUGGAGAUUCAGCUCUACGGCACUCGCUGUGAUGUACCGACUCUGGUCGUGCCUGGUCAGCAUGAUGACCUCAUAGUGGGCUCGAAUGUCAUCAAACACGUCAUUCAUGUUCUGAAGGGUGAUAAUGACUAUUGGAGCAUGGCUUCCAGACCUGAGCAUCAGUCUGAUCCCGGUGUUGAACAGUUCUUGUCGAUGUUCACCAAUGUUGAGCGCUGGAGAGGAAGUGAGGUUCCUGACAAAAUAGGCACUGUCAAGAUCACCCAAGCAGUGAUACUUCUACCCAGGCAUGAACACUUGGUUUGGGGUAGACUCCCUGCUAGUGUGCCAAUGUCACCUGGAAGCACUGUUGUCGUAGAGCCGACCAAUUCCAAAGCCAUGCCACGAGGUGUUCUAGUGGGCCGUCUUGUCACACCUCUUUGGGGUGAUAGAUGGGUGCCAAUGACCGUUGUUAACCCAUCUGACAAAGCUGUCACACUGAAGAGAAACUGCAAAUUGGCUGAUGUGUUUCCAUGUUUGGCAAUCAAGGAUCUAACUGCUUCUCAGAGUCUUCAUGUGGCUUCAGAGAAAAAAACAGACGAAGACAACAAAGAACCUGUCUUUGUGAUACAGCAAUCUCAUACGGAGAAACAAGUACAUGAUAUAGUGCAACAUGAUGUAUCGCCCAGUGCCUGUUUAACUGGUCAGCAGGAAAAAAGCCUGUCAGAGUUGGGCCUAAGCGAUGUUGACAUAGACGCUUGUCAGGUCAGUAAAGACUGUAAGUCUAGGCUCACACAGCUAAUAAUUGUAUAUCAAGACAUCUUCUCCAAGCACCCAUUGGAUUGUGGUGAGGUCAAGGGAUACACACACCGCAUUCAUCUCACUGACGAUCGCCCUUUUCGCCUGCCAUACAGGAAAGUCCCUCCUGCUCAUUAUCAGAAGUUGAGACAGGUUCUCACUGAUAUGGAGGAAAAGGGGAUUAUCAGGAAGUCCUCAAGCGAGUAUGCUUCGCCACUAG